ACACUCUUGUUUCUCUUCAGCACGUACAAAUCUUUCGCCUUUUACUAGAGAUUUCCGUGGAGAGAAACAACAAGAGCUCUUCUCAAUUUUUUUGAUACUCUGCUAUGUGGUGGGGUU